rnacentral:misc_RNA from 1 species
GGUUGCUGCAGAGCAUGUUCAAGUGCUGAAUGCGGUGAGAUCAAAGUUUCCUUUUUUUAGUUACCGCGGCAGAUGAUGCUAAAGAGUCCGUCAAAGGGGAGAUCCGUUUGAGAGUAGUGAAACUCAUUUGAAGAUAUCUAGAGGAUGUGCAUAGUUUUCUGGAGGUAGAUUGAGACUCCAAUGCUUUGAUUAUUUGGUGCCCUCAAGAGUUCAGGUAUUUACCAUUUAUUGAGUAGCUUUUAAAUUUUUAUGACAUGCUUCUGUAAAUAUUUAGAUUUUAACAAUUGGA